rnacentral:tRNA from 1 species
ACCUGGGUGGCUCAGUCAGUUGAGCGUCUGACUUCGGCUCAGGUCAUGAUCUCACGGUUUGUGGGUUCGAGCCCUGCAUCAGGGU